UUAGAUCAGAAGCGAGAAUGUUGACAUGAGUAGCGAUAAAGAGGGUGAGAGACCCUCUCGCCGUAAGUCCAAGGGUUCCUGCUUAAAGCUAAUCUGAGCAGGGUAAGCCGGCCCCUAAGGCGAGGCCGAAAGGCGUAGUCGAUGGGAACCAGGUUAAUAUUCCUGGGCCAGGAGGAAGUGACGGAUCUCGAAGGUAGUUUGCCCUUAUCGGAUUGGGUGGGCUGCUCAGAGGUUCCAGGAAAUAGCCCUCCAUCAGACCGUACCCUAAACCGACACAGGUGGACUGGUGGAGUAUACCAAGGCGCUUGAGAGAACCACGUUAAAGGGACUCGGCAAAAUGCCUCCGUAAGUUCGCGAGAAGGAGGCCCCAUAUGUGCGCAAGCAUGUGUGGGGGGCACAAACUAGGGGGUGGCGACUGUUUACUUAAAACACAGGGCUGUGCGAAGCCGUAAGGCGACGUAUACAGUCUGACGCCUGCCCGGUGCUGGAGGGUUAAAAGGAGGGGUGCAAGCUCUGAAUUGAAGCCCCAGUAAACGGCGGCCGUAACAAUAACGGUCCUAAGGUAGCGAAAUUCCUUGUCGGGUAAGUUCCGACCUGCACGAAUGGCGUAACGAUCUCCCCGCUGUCUCUAACGUGGACUCAGCGAAAUUGAACUGUGUGUCAAGUUGCACACUACCCGCGGUUAGACGGAAAGACCCCAUGCACCUUUACUCCAGCUUUGCACUGGUAUCAGGAUUGUGAUGUGCAGGAUAGGUGGUAGGCAUCGAAGCGGGGACGCCAGUUCUCGUGGAGCCUCCCUUGAGAUACCACCCUUCGCCAUCUUGAUAUCUAACCGCGGCCCGUUAUCCGGGUCCGGGACCCUGCAUGGUGGGGAGUUUGACUGGGGCGGUCGCCUCCCAAACAGUAACGGAGGCGCGCGAAGGUAGGCUCAGACCGGUCGGAAAUCGGUCGUUGAGUGCAAUGGCAGAAGCCUGCCUGACUGCAAGUCUGACAAGACGAGCAGAGACGAAAGUCGGUCAUAGUGAUCCGGUGGUCCCAAGUGGGAGGGCCAUCGCUCAACGGAUAAAAGGUACGCUGGGGAUAACAGGCUGAUGAUGCCCAAGAGUCCAUAUCGACGGCAUCGUUUGGCACCUCGAUGUCGGCUCAUCUCAUCCUGGGGCUGGAGCAGGUCCCAAGGGUAUGGCUGUUCGCCAUUUAAAGAGGUACGUGAGCUGGGUUUAGAACGUCGUGAGACAGUUCGGUCCCUAUCUGCCGUGGGUGUAGGAGACUUGAGAAGAGUUGCCCCUAGUACGAGAGGACCGGGGUGAACGAACCACUGGUGGACCAGUUGUCGUGCCAACGGCAGUGCUGGGUAGCUAUGUUCGGACAGGAUAACCGCUGAAGGCAUCUAAGCGGGAAGCCCCCUUCAAAACAAGGUCUCCCUUGAGAGCCGUGGAAGACCACCACGUCGAUAGGCCGGAGGUGUAAGUGCAGCAAUGCAUUCAGCUGACCGGUACUAAUUGCUCU
rnacentral:rRNA from 1 species